rnacentral:rRNA from 1 species
GAUGAACGCUAGCGGGAGGCUUAACACAUGCAAGUCGAGGGGCAGCAUAGGGUAGCAAUACUCUGAUGGCGACCGGCAAACGGGUGAGUAACGCGUAUGCAACCUACCCUGUACAGGGGGAUAACCCGGAGAAAUUCGGACUAAUAUCCCGUAAUAAUAUCCGGAGGCAUCUUUGGAUAUUUAAAGUUUCGACGGUACGGGAUGGGCAUGCGUAACAUUAGCUGGUUGGUAAGGUAACGGCUUACCAAGGCUAUGAUGUUUAGGGGUCCUGAGAGGGUGGUCCCCGACAACGUGGUACUGUAGACACGGACCAGACUCCUACGGGAGGCAGCAGUGAGGAAUAUUGGUCAAUGGGCGCAAGCCUGAACCAGCCAUCCCGCGUGCAGGAAGACGGCCCUAUGGGUUGUAAACUGCUUUUCCAGGGAGAGAAACUUACGCACGUGUUGCGUGACUGACGGUACCCUGGGAAUAAGCAUCGGCUAACUCCGUG